CUCUUAGCAAUGGAUAUCUUGGUUCUCACAACGAUGAAGAACGCAGCGAACUGCGAUACGUAGUGCGAAUUGCAGAAUUCAGUGAAUCAUCAAAUCUUUGAACGCAAGUUGCGCUUCCGAGAUACCCUUGGAAGCAUGCCUCUUUGAGUGUCGG
rnacentral:rRNA from 1 species